rnacentral:lncRNA from 1 species
GGCAAAUUCAAGACAUAAUUGAUUAUUCAGAGAAAUUUAAUAUAGAAGGAGCAGUACUAUUUCUAGAUUUUAGUAAGGCUUUUGAUUCUUUAGAAUGGAUCUUUAUGACAGAAACUCUCAAAAAGUUUGGAUUUAAAAGUGGAUUUAUCAGAUGGGUUGAAACUAUGUAUAAUGAUAUUAAAGGGUGUAUUUUGAAUAAUGGGUGGGUCUCAGGUCCAUUUAAAAUAUACCGCGGUAUUCGACAAGGGUGUCCGAUUUCUGCUUUACUGUUUGUUAUAACUGUUGAAUUAAUGGCCAUAAGAUUAAGAAAAAAUAAAGAACUUAAGGGAAUAACAAUAAAAUUAGACGGACAAUCUUGUAAUUUAAAAAUCUGUCAAUUAGCAGACGACACAACAUUAUUUCUUCAGUCUCGUAAAGAUAUAAGUCUGGCUCUCAGUAUAAUAGAGACAUUUGGAAGUCUAUCAGGGCUGAAACUUAAUAGGAAUAAAACAGAAGGAAUAUGGUUAGGGAGAUUAAAAAGCAGUAAAGAU